AAAAAAGUCUUUAAAAAUCUCUAACAAAACUAUAGAUCUCUAAAUAUGUUCAUUAUUAAUUUUUAAGAUUAUACAUAUUUAAUCUAGCUAACCUCCAAAAAUUAUAAAUCCUGUUUCAUCAGAUUAUUUGUUGCAUUAUACUAAAAGAAGGCCAAUAACUUCCUGGUAGAAAGUUAAGGCUCCCUGAAUACUUUGGAGACAGGUUUGUGGCUCUAUAUACUGAAUUAAGGGAAAUAGCAAUUUAUAUUCAGGUGAGUCUCUCCUUUCUGCCAGUGAUCUGGUUCUCUGUAUAAUAUUCAGGUGAGUCUCUCCUUUCUGCCAGUGAACUGGUUCUCUGUUGUGGCGAAACCGACCUCGACACUGGGUAUUGGAGAAGACUGAUUGCCAGCCUCCGGCCAUGUGACACUGGCCCCUGGGAUGUAUUGCCCUUUAAAGACAUUAUUUGGGCGUAUUGUAUUUUAUUGUGCUGUUUCUGGCCUGUUAAGUACUUUGGGAAAGGACCUGCAGUUUUGGCAUGGCACUUUGGAUGCAGCCGAAGAAGUUGAAUCAUUCAAAUGCAGUCAGCGGUGUGUGCCGUCAAACUCAUGGAACUAAAAUCAGCUACAGAACGGCACGAACACCGCUGAAGUUUUACCUUCCCUGGAACUAAUGCAUUCGACAAUUCUAAUGGUGGUUGUUUGUCUGAACUGACUUUAACAUUGGAAAUAGACCGACCGCAGAGCCCAAAUCCAUGGAACUGUUUUGGGCAUGGAAAUGUGCUUGCGGUCGGUCAUAAAAGGACUUCCAGCUAACUUUUUAACCUCUGGAUGGAAUUGGCUGAAUUUUGACUGUUUAAAAUUAAAGUGUGCUGAAUAAUAUGUCAUUUUUAUGAAGAUUGAAUGUAUAUUUUUAAAGUUUUAUAGUACAUGUGUAAAAACUGUAUUUCUCUGCCUGUGAUAAUUACAUUAACCCAUUGUGUAAGGUAAUUGUAUCACAGGCAGAGGCGAGGAUUUUGUGUCUGAGUGUAUUGUACGUAUUGAUUGGUUGUACUUCAAAACCCUGUGGGCGGUACUAUGGUUGAGGAAUGGGCAUAAAUGCAGAGUUUUUGAAUAAAAGCUCAGUUCUAC